rnacentral:pre_miRNA from 1 species
CUAGUACUCCCUCCGUCCGAAAAUACUUAUCAUCAAAAUGAAUAAAAAGGGAUGUAUCUUGAACUAAAAUAUGUCUAGAUACAUCCCCUUUUGUUCAUUUUAAUGACAAGUAUUUCCGGCCGGAGGGAGUAUGAG